AGUGAACGCUGGCGGUAGGCCUAACACAUGCCAGUCGAACGGCAGCAGAGUAAGAGCUUGCUCUGACGGGUGGCGAGUGGCGGACGAGAGAGGAAUACAUCGGAAUCUACGGGUUAGCGGGGGAUAAGGUAGGGAAACUUACGCUAAUACCGCAUACGACAUACGGGGGAAAGCAGGGGAUCUUCGGACCUUGCGCGCCGAAAGGAGCCGAUGUCGGAUUAGCUAGUUGGCGGGAUAAAGGCCCACCAAGGCGACGAUCCGUAGCUGGUCUGAGAGGAUGAUCAGCCACACUGGAACUGAGACACGGUCCAGACUCCUACGGGAGGCAGCAGUGGGGAAUAUUGGACAAUGGGCGAAAGCCUGAUCCAGCCAUACCGCGUGGAUGAAGAAGGCCUUUGGGUUGUAAAGUCCUUUUGUUCGGAAAGAAAAGCAGCAGGCUAAUAACGCGCUGUUCUGACGGUACCGUAAGAAUAAGCACCGGCUAACUUCGUG
rnacentral:rRNA from 1 species